rnacentral:rRNA from 1 species
AUUGAACGCUGGCGGCAUGCUUUACACAUGCAAGUCGGACGGCAGCACAGAGAAGCUUGCUGCUUGGGGGGCGAGGGGCGAACGGGUGAGUAAUAUAUCGGAACGUACCGAGUAAUGGGGGAUAACUAAUCGAAAGAGUAGCUAACACCGCAGAGUCUCUGAGGAGGAAAGCAGGGGACCUUCGGGCCUUGCGUUAGUCGAGCGGCCGAGAUCUGAUUAGUUAGUGGGGGGGGUAAAGGCCUACCAAGGCGACGAGCAGGAGAGGAUCUGAGUGGAUGAUCGCCCGCCUUGGAACUUGGACACGGCCCAUACGCCUGCGGGAGGGCGCAGUGGGGAAUUUUGGGCAAUGGUCGCGAGCCUGACCCAGCCAUGCCGCGUGUGUGACGAAGGCCUUCGGGUUGUAAAGGACUUUUGUCAGGGAAGAAAAGGCUGUUGCUAAUACCGACAGCUGAUGACGGUACCUGAAGAAUAAGCACCGGCUAACUACGUG